rnacentral:tRNA from 1 species
GGGCUCGUAGCUCAGCCUGGACAUGUUAAAAGCCAGAGAGAGCAUCGGCCCUCUAAGCCGGGGGUCGUGGGUUCGAAUCCCACCGGGCCCGCCA